rnacentral:rRNA from 1 species
GACGAACGCUGGCGGCGUGCUUAACACAUGCAAGUCGAACGAUGAAGCCGGAGCUUGCUCUGGUGAAUUAGUGGCGAACGGGUGAGUAACACGUGAGUAACCUGCCCUUGACUCUGGGAUAACUGCGGGAAACUGUAGCCAAUACCGGAUACGACCCUCGGCGGCAUCGCCAGGGGGUGGAAAGAAUUUCGGUCAAGGAUGGACUCGCGGCCUAUCAGCUAGUUGGUGAGGUAACGGCUCACCAAGGCGACGACGGGUAGCCGGCCUGGGAGGGUGACCGGCCACACUGGGACUGAGACACGGCCCAGACUCCUACGGGAGGCAGCAGUGGGGAAUAUUGCACAAUGGGCGCAAGCCUGAUGCGGCAACGCCGCGUGAGGGAUGACGGCCUUCGGGUUGUAAACCUCUUUUAGUAGGGAAGAAGCGAAAGUGACGGUACCUGCAGAAAAAGCACCGGCUAACUACGUGCCAGCCGCCGCAGUAA